ACUCCUAAUAUAUAUACCUCAGCCAUCCUCUCUCUUCUCUCCUCCCCUCCUUCAAAGCCCACCAACCUCCAUUAAACCCACCAUCUCAUCUCCUCUAACUUCAUCGACAUUAAACCACCAAAAUUACUACCUACCACAACUGCCACAACCACCUAACACAACGCCACCAAUGGCAACUUCACCAUAAUCGAUCUCCUUCUUUCUCUAUCCUUCGUUCUCCUUCUUUCUAUCUACCACAAUCUCGUUCUUUCUCUAUCCUGCGAGCUCCUUCAUUCUCCUUCUUUCUUUCUCUGUCGAUCUCCUUUUUUCACUCUCCUUCAUUCUCCUUGUUUCUCUCUCCUUCAAUCUCCUUUUAUCUCUCCUGCGAUCUUCGCACGACAUCUAUGUGUUCUCCUUAUUUUGUGAAUUUUGGUGAAUUUUUAUGAUUGUUGUAGAUAUAUUUUUUUUUUAGGGUUGGAUCUAUCUCCCUAUACUCAUUGAUGGUGAGUUGUGGUUGAAGAAUCUUUGAAUGAAUAUUCUGAGUAUUUUUGGUCACCUAGAAGAUGAAGAUGGAGAAGCAGAAGAUCUUAGUGAAUUUUCGUAAAAUUUUGAUCAUAUAGAAGCAUUAGGUAGAAGGAUUUUGGUGAAAUUUUGUGGAUUUUGAUAGAAGGAUUCAAAGAAAUGGAAGAUGGAUAGCUGGGUGGUUGUAAUGGUGGUUUUGAUGGUGGUGGCGGGGUGGUCGUGGCGGUGGUGUUGGCAAGAUGGGGGAUGGUUGUAAACUUUUGUGCUAGGAGAGGAGAAGCCAACCGAGUUUAGCAAGAAACACUUGGUUCAGGGGAGAGGUCUUGCAUAGACCGAGACCCUCUUGGCUUUUAGGUUGGCAUAUUUUGUCCCGGCUUAUUAAGGAAAUGUUGUUUUUAUCUUUAUUUUGUCUCCAAAAAGACAGUCUAUGAUGCGUAUCUAUUUUCUGACAAAUGUUAGAGGGGAGAAGGGAAAAUUAGCAGGAGUAGGCUGGCAGAGCUUCGAGAUUUGGUUGGAUAAAAGUAAAUCGUCCGGCUUUGGAGAGGACCAGCUUCCCAUUGUUUUAUGCGUUCUUCUGUUUUUUGAAGGAUGUGAUUGGUGGGUAGUGCAAGGCUCUUGGUUUUCUAUGACAAAGAAGCAUCUAGGAAACCUGGUGAAUAGAGCUAAUGAUCUUGGAGUUGGUCGUGAGGUUUAUGCCUGUAAUACUCCGUAUCUUUAGUAAGUUAAUAUUUAUAUCUUUAGAAAAGUUUUGGUUGUUAAAAAGACUUUUUAUAUAUUUAAAAGGUUUUUAAAAUAGUGUUGUAUUCACUAUUUUGAUGAUGACAAAUAUUUAUUAUCUUCGUUUAAUUUAGUUUCUUUUAUUUAGUUUGUUUUAUUAGAUUUAUUUAUUUAAUUUUAUUUGUAGGGUAAUUUAGGUUUAUUAUUUUAUCUCACAAAUAGAGUAAUAACUUGUGGAGAAUUGAUUAUGAGCUUAAUCAAAAAUUAAGUUAUUUAACUUAUCUGUGUUUUGACUGAUAUUUACAUGAUUACAUUAUGGACUUUAAUUUGUGAAAAUAUUAGAAACCAUAAUAUUCUUGGAAGUUAGUUAUGUAUGCGCAGGAGAAGAAAUAACAAACUGAUUUGAUGCUGCUAACUUCCAGCGCCUAAAAAGGAGGGUUGUUGAAGUAGUUCCUAGAUUUUAGGAACCACAACAACCCACAACAACCUACCUAUCUCUGAGGCGUGCGAUCAUGGCUGAAGAUGUGGAACCAUAACAAGCACAACUUCUAACGGACUUCUAACGGCUAUAAAGUGGAUGAAGUGAAGCUAAAUUUUAGCUCCCACUAUGUACGUGUAAAGAAGAUCAUGGGGCAAUCUAUUAUCUACAUAUAGUUGUGUUUUAACGAACUAAAAUAUUACGCUUUCAGUUUUUCAUGUAAUAAUUCAAAGAAAGUAUAUUCGUUUUC